GGCUCCGUGGUGUAGCGGUGAUCACGUCUGCUUUACACGCAGAAGGACCUGGGUUCGAGCCCCAGCGGAGCCA